AGCGAAGGAACGGCGCCUGUCCAGUUCUCUCCCGUGCACGUUAAUUUGUAAAACCUGUCUGAGUGUCAUUUAUUCCAAUCUGAGUUGCAUUACAGGAAAACUCCUGACAUUUUUUGGUCCUCCGAGCCGGAUUAACAUAACACUUUUGUGUGAUCCUACGGGAAAACCUCAUCGAGUCCUGACGUCGUGAGAAGCCCGCGCUGAAGUCUGUCGACAGCUCCUGUCUAGGGUACAGGAUAAAAGACCAGAAACGUGACAUUCGGGUUCUGGCCAGCGUUUUUAGAAGUGGUCCACGACGGUGGGGGUCGAUGAGGCGGACCUGAGAGACCGGCAGUGAAUCAGCAACCAGGUGAAUAUUGACACUCUGAGACACGUUGCGUAAAACCGUGUAAGCUCGCCCAGAGAGGCUGGUAGCAUUUUAAAAUAAAGAUAGAGCUCGUCUGGGACUGGUAGCUCCCCCGUAGUGGGUAAAAAAUUAAAAUAAAGAUAGAGCUCGUCUGGGACUGGUAGCUCCCCCGUAGUGGGUAAAGUGAGCGCGCGCAUAAAGCAAACUCGCAGGCAGCAGCUUCUCCCCCCUCGCUCACAUGCGUGCUGUGCUCAGUCGCCUAGUACCUGAGCUCGGAUCAUACCAAAAUUAGGGGGAAUUUACGACGGUGCCCCAUGCUUCUGAAAAAAUGACCCGGGCUUAAGCCCAGUAAGACACCCCCCCGCUCCGCUAAUGGUUGACUCCAAAUCUCCGGAACACUAUGUCGAUUUGAGAACGGAAGAUCGAAACAGCGAGACCAAGACCGAGACAAGACAAAAGUCCGUCGAGACCAAGACAAGACCAAGACAAAAGUCCAUCGAGACCAAGACCGAGACCAAGACAAAAGUCCGUCGAGACCAAGACGAGACCAAGACCACGUAAAAGUGGUCUCGAGACCAAGACCGGUCUCGAGACAUCCAACUCUAAGCAGCAGUGUGGACAAACAGCAUCAGAGAAGAAGAGUAAACCAUCAUCCUGACUGACUGGAUGAAUGACACUGUUUCCAACAAGCUGCAACUUCACUGUGCUUGUGAAAAGGACUUUUGAGGAGAACCGAGGAGACUGUUUGACAUUUGCUGCUUUUGGAGAAAAUGGCAAGAAGAGACAGUGGAACACAGGACAAAGCUGAAGAAGAACUGCCGGCUAUUGGACUGUUGAAGUGGGAGAGGACGACAGAGUGAGAGCAGGUGAGAACACAGAGGAAAGCUGGUGUUUAAUGUGGGAAAUCACAAUUUGGGUUAGCAAAUCUGGGGAAAAGAAAACUGACUGUUUAAGUGGAAAGUUGUGAAGGAGUCUGAAACACUGCGAAAAGAAACAUAUACAAAAUCACACACACAAGCAGAACAUGCAUUAACCCUACUAACACAAACAAAAGAGAGCUCAUGAAGAUUAGACACCAUCUUGAGCAUGUGAGUCUGUUUAUCAUCUUGUCCAAGUCACCUGGUGUGAUGCAAAGACCAGUGGACUCAUAGCACAUUAGUUAAGAAAGGAUCAAAUAAUAGCAGAGGAGUGUGUAGGAAAGGCAGCUUUAAGAACAUGCCCUGCUGGAGAUGCAGCUCCACAGACAUUGAUUAAACCUGCCUAAUAACACAAACACACAUGCAAUGAAGAUCAGCUUGUUAUCUUUCAUCAGUGUUAAAAUAGUGUAAAUUUAACAGAGAUUUGUUAUCAAAUGCUGAAUUUAUCCAAUGCUGACAGUUAACUCUCUGGGUUGCAGGACAACAGUUUAAUUUUGGAAAAAAAAAAAAAAAAAAAAACAGGAUUCUGGUUUGACCAACCAGUGAUCAGACAAUAAAUUUAGUUGUUAAUAUAGUAAAUUGGGAGAUGCUUUCUGCCUGAUUGAUGCAGCACAAGUAAUUUACUGUAUGAGGGAAAUUCUAAACUAUGUUUUUAUGAUUUUUGUGUGAUUAACAGUUCAUCUACGGGUAUUAAACCUAUGCAAAGUGGGGUAUCCAUGUUCAGCUGAGGCUUUGAUGGUCCAUAAAUGAAGCUCACUGAACUAAAGAAUGUGGUUUGAUGAUGAUUGACAUGCUCCCCAAAUAGAAGUUUUUCCUCCUAGCAAGGAAAUACAGGUGCAGCAGUCAGAGUAUUGCUGAAAGGAAUCUCCUGAGAAAACUUCAGAGGCCCAGUGAGAAGCGAGAACCAUUCCAGGCAGAGCUGACAGCCCAGGCAGUGGUUGAGGUCAAAGGUCGAGCUGUUUGGGGCCCAUCAUGAGAUCAGAUUCCACAGCCACAGCAAGGACCAUGAAGCUGCGUUGGAAUGAGAGCUGUGCCAAGGGGGCUUUCCAGAGGCCAACAGAGGAGAUUGUAGACAACAGAUGGGCACCUGAAGGAUGAGGGGAGCGUGCCAAGCUCCAACGACAGCGCAGAGGGAGUCCAAGGAUGACAUCAUGAUUCUGUGAAAAGCACAGGAACCAGAAGCUAUGGUGGUGAUGACAGCAGUUUCCUGUGAACAUCACCCAAUGCUGUGUCACUAUACUGUGCCUACGUUGGCACACUGACGACUGCUGGGAUCAUAACAGCAGUAAGAUAACUGGAUCCAGCACCCUUUCCACAGAGGGUUUUCCUGCAGAGGAUGGACAAUGGAGGAGUCAUAUGUAUCCCCCACAGGACAAGGAGGCCUGAAGUGAGGUGAUGGGGGUUGGUAGAGGCCAUAAAACUCAAGUGUUGACGAGGCCUGCAGCUCUGAAGAUAGCUGAGACCCAUGUUGACAAACAACAAAACUCAACUGGUAUGUUUGAAUGUCUAUUCUACAUACAUUUGGACUCUGGUCCUAUGGACAGUGAUGGAAACAACUGGAAGAGACAUUUAUGACACCCUGCAGAACUUAAACCACUCUGCAGAGAGACGUGCGAUUUACAUGUCUUGCAGAGGAGCACCACCAAGCUGGAGUGAUUUUGAAAAUGUUAAUUUCUUUUUUGACCAUUAACAAUUUAUUUGUUUGCUUGCAGGAUGCAGUUUACCAUUGAAUGAGAUCAAUGAGAAAUUGGGUAACUGCUAAUACAUUUGUCAAACUGUAUACGUUUACAGAUGCUGAGUAUAAAAAUGGUUGCAUUAACACUACCAGACAUGAGGUAUUCAUAACUAGGGACUUUUCUAGCAUAACUGCCGAAGGGGAGAAUGUUAGAUUUGUAUUGUUGAUUGUUAUUUAUGUUUACAGAUAUCUACUUAUAUGCUUAGGGUUUUAUAAUUAGUUGCAGAUAGAAGUUUGAUCCUUAGUAGUCUGUGGAGACUCUGGCAUUCACACACAUACUUACAGUCAUCGAACAUGACUGAUGCUCUGAACACACUUAGACAACUCAGAGAUGCACAACAACAAGACUAUGUUCUACUAUUGUUAUUGUGUCUUUUUACUUCAUGCGUCAUACCUUGUUUGAAGAACAUGGUGUCAAAAAUGGUAACUGCUUCAAUUAAUGCUUACAUCACCCUACCACAGAAUGAAGAAGAUGAUAAUGAGAUAGACAUUUGGAUAUAACAUAUUCACAAAACCCACUAAUUAAUGAUGUCCUGGCUAAAAAUGUUUUACAAGUGGCCAUAGACUGAUACAGUGUUAGUGAGUUGCUAUAUAUAUAUAUAUAUAUAUAUAGGAGAAAAGAUCAAACAACAGGAGGGAAUGUUGAAAGAUUUUAUUAUGUUUAUGUUUAGAAGUACAUUUUGUUUAAGCUUUUCUAGAUGUGUUUGCUCUUUUUUAUUAGAGAAGUUACGUUGUGCAAGCUUUGUGUGCAUUCCAGAGCUCUCUGACUUUCACACACACAUCCUGGGAGCAUGAGAGAGGUUGUACCUUCUCUUACUGAUUUAUGGUAUAGGAGGACACCUACUCUGUAUCUGUUUUAGUCUAAGAGCCUUUUCUUUAGAUGUACCGUUAGACUCCUGGCACCAGCUUUGGGGAGUCUUCCUGGGGUCCCAGGAAGACCCCCACACACAGAUACACAUAUACACACACACUCACACGCAUACCAAGGUAUAUGUCGUAUGUUAAGGAACCUAUGCAUAUUCAUGUAACCACAAUAAAAGAGCAGUGUUACGGGAGAGCGGACGAGAGCAACUGGGGUCAAGCGAAGGAACGGCGCCUGUCCAGUUCUCUCCCGUGCACGUUAAUUUGUAAAACCUGUCUGAGUGUCAUUUAUUCCAAUCUGAGUUGCAUUACAGGAAAACUCCUGACAUUACUGAUGACUAAUUUACUCACAGAGUGUUCCCUGAGUUUGCCUGGAUACAAAGCAAUCUCAAAUGAAAAAUAUACUCCGCCUUCUUCCCUAAUGGGUGGUGUGCAAGAUUAAACAACACAGUAAGUCAAUAAAAGGGAAUGGCAAACAAUAAAACCUAAUGACUGAUCUCAACAAUUC
ensembl:lncRNA